rnacentral:lncRNA from 7 species
GUUCAGGCUGGAGGCAGGAUCCUGGCGGUGUGAGUGGGGUGCCCCUGUGGAGCAAGGUGAGCUGCAUGUUACCUGUGAGGUGGGUGGUGCCCGGGGCCGGAGGCAGUGGCUGUGUGGGUGAUGAUGUGCUUUUUUUUACAGGGUGGAAGGUGCGUGGCAGGUCCUGUCCCGGAGGAGUGGAGUUAAGGGUCCUGGUGUGGCUGUUUUCCUGCAUGGAAGAUGGAGAUCCUGGGAGCUGCGAUGAGGAGGAGCAGAGCCAGCAGUGGCUCCUGUGUGGCGAUGGCUGCUUUGUGUGGUGCUCCUGGGCUGAAAGGAGGAGGAGAAAAAAGUUUUUAGUGUGGUUCUUCAAAGCUCAGCUGAAUUUCUGCACGGCAGCCUUUCUCGAUUGCAGUAGGGCUUCCCUGGCUUGAAGAUGGGUGUGCUGUCCUGAGGGAGGAGCAGUGUUGGCUGUCUUACAGUGACCUUCCUGCUUUCCUUUAGAAGAGUCCACUAAGAACUGUAUCGGGUUUUUCAGUAGGUAACUCAGCAAAAAUGCCAAAUAUGUUGUCCUGUUUCCCUUUAUACAAAAGAUGUGGUACUUUGCUGGGGUUGCGCCUUUGUGUUCAAUGUUUGUAUGCAGUAUAUUGUAUCCUCCUGUGGGAGUCUGCCAUUAUUAACUGCACUGUUAAUAAC